UAAACUACGAUUAGAUACCCUAUUAUUUUAAGUGUAAAUUAUUUGCCUGAGUAGUAAUAGUUAAUUUCUUAAAACUCAAAGAAUUUGGCGGUGUUUUAUUCUUCUCAGAGGAACCUGCCCUGUAAUUGACAAUCCACGUUUAAUUCUACUUAGUUUACAGUUUGUAUACCUCCGUCAUAAGAUUAUACUAAGAAGUUAUAUUCUAAAUAUUUUAUUCAAUAAAAUGUCAGGUCAAGGUGCAGCUUAUAAUUAAGAAGAGGUGGGUUACAAUAAAAUUAUUUAUACGGAUUAAUCUAUAGAUAUGGAAUAUAAAGGCGGAUUUGGAAGUAAUAUUUUCAAAAUAGAAAGUAUGAUAUUAGCCCUAAAACAUGCACACAUCGCCCGUCGCUCUUAANA
rnacentral:rRNA from 1 species